AAAUAAUGCAUCGGACAUUAGCGCAACAAUUCUUUAAAUCGUUCGCAUGCUUUAUACAAGAUCUCAUCCUCCAACUUCUUAAAAGAUGUGAUGUCAUUCCUCAAUUU